AGAAUCAACGCUGGCGGCGUGCCUAACACAUGCAAGUCGAACGAGAAAGUGGAGCAAUCCAUUAGUAAAGUGGCGCACGGGUGAGUAACACGUGACUAACCUACCCUUGAGUGGGGGAUAACCUAGGGAAACCUGGGCUAAUACCGCAUAAUACCUUCGGGUCAAAGGAGCAAUUCGCUUAAGGAGGGGGUCGCGGCCGAUUAGUUAGUUGGCGGGGUAAUGGCCCACCAAGACGAUGAUCGGUAUCC
rnacentral:rRNA from 1 species